rnacentral:rRNA from 1 species
UACGUAGGGUGCGAGCGUUGUCCGGAAUUAUUGGGCGUAAAGGGCUCGUCGGCGGUUUGUCGCGUCGGGAGUGAAAUCCACUGGCUUAACUGGUGGCUUGCUUUCGAUACGGGCAGACUGGAGGUAUGCAGGGGAGAACGGAAUUCCUGGUGUAGCGGUGAAAUGCGCAGAUAUCAGGAGGAACACCGGUGGCGAAGGCGGUUCUCUGGGCAUGUCCUGACGCUGAGGAGCGAAAGUGUGGGGAGCGAACAGG